UACGUAGGGCGCAAGCGUUGUCCGGAAUUAUUGGGCGUAAAGAGCUCGUAGGCGGUCUGUUACGUCUGCUGUGAAAACCCGGGGCUUAACCCCGGGCUUGCAGUGGAUACGGGCAGACUAGAGGUAGGUAGGGGAGAAUGGAAUUCCCGGUGUAGCGGUGAAAUGCGCAGAUAUCGGGAGGAACACCGGUGGCGAAGGCGGUUCUCUGGGCCUUACCUGACGCUGAGGAGCGAAAGCGUGGGGAGCGAACAGG
rnacentral:rRNA from 1 species